UAAUCGAACGUUUUAAUUCAGGUAAGGGUAUAACUUGUUACACAAGCUAAAGCUAAAACUAAUAAUUAAAAAGUGGUGUACAGGUGAGUAUAAUAAUAUUUUAUGCCGACCUUAGAGUGAAGAUAAAUUCUUUAUAUAAUAAAGGGAAUAUAUAUUCCCGCUUUAAGAGGACGAUAGAUAUUUUCGAGAUAGGUAGUAGUGAGGGUUAUGUCUUCCCUAGCCUUAAUUCUCGUAGUCGAAACUGAAAGGUUAAUCGACCACAUUGGGUCUGAAAAAAGCCUAAUGCAAGUUAGUACAGCAGUGAGGAAUAUUGGUCAAUGGCCUAACGGCUGAACUGGCAACUUGGAGAAGUGUUAAGUCUUUAUUUUUGUGCUAUAGCUUAUGCUAUAGUAUGUUAAACAAAAAUUAAAGAUUAAAUUAGUAUUGAAUGAAACUUUGUUUAUAUAUCGAUAAUGACAAUAUAUAUAUUAUGUCUUGACCAAUUACGUGCCAGCAGUCGCGGUAAUACGUAAGAGACUAGUGUUAUUCAUCUUAAUUAGGUUUAAAGGGUACUACAAACGGUCAAUCAAAAGACUAGAGUUAUAUAGAAGAAGGUAGUACCUUAAGUGUAGAGAUUAUAUUUGGUCAUACUGGAGGGACUUAGAAAAGGCGUAGGCAACCUUUUAAGUAAUAACUGACGUUGAAGGACGAAGGCAUAGAUCACGAACAGGAUUAGAUACCCUAGUAGUCUUUGCAGUCAAUGAUGAAUGCCAUAGGUUAGAUAUAAAUUUAGUCUAUAAAUGAAAAUGUAAGCAUUUCACCUCAAGAGUAAUGUGGCAACGCAGAAACUGAAAUCACUAGACCGUUUCUGACACCAGUAGUGAAGUAUGUUAUUUAAUC
rnacentral:rRNA from 1 species